UGUGGCCAUAUCACGUUGAAACACCGGUUCUCGUACGAUCACUGAAGUUAAGCAACGCCGAGUCUGGUCGUUACCAUGAUAGGUGUCCGCUUGGGAAUACCAGAUGCAGUAA